ensembl:snRNA Gm26108 U2 spliceosomal RNA
CUCACUUCUCAGCCUUUUUGGCUAAGAUCAAGCGUAGUAUCUGUUGUUAUCAGUUUAAUAUAUGAUACGUCCUCUACCCAAGGACAAUAUAUUAAAUGAAUUUUUGGAAGUAGAAGUUGGAAUAGGAGCUUGCUCCAUCUACUCCAUGCAUCGACCUGGUAUUGCAGUACCUCCAGGAAUGGUGCACCCCCU